rnacentral:rRNA from 1 species
UAGUAACGGCGAGUGAAGCGGCAAAAGCUCAGAUUUUAAAUCUGGCGUCAUUUUGGCGUCCGAGUUGUAGUCUGUAGAGGAGUAUUCGAGUGUGGCUUUGGCUUAAGUUCCUUGGAACAGGGCGUCAUAGAGGGUGAGAACCCCGUUAACGGCCUUUGUCUUAUGCUCAUGUGAAUCUCCUUCAACGAGUCGAGUUGUUUGGGAAUGCAGCUCUAAAUGGGUGGUAAAUUCCAUCUAAAGCUAAAUACUGGCAAGAGACCGAUAGCGCACAAGUAGAGUGAUCGAAAGAUGAAAAGAACUCUGAACAGAGAGUUAAAUAGUACGUGAAAUUGUUGAAAGGGAAGCACUUGCGACCAGACGCACUUGCAGCUGAUCAACCUCCAUUCUUGGGGGUGCACUCCGCUGUCUGUGGGUCAGCAUCAGUUAUAGUGGUGGGAAAAAGACUAGGGGAAUGUAGCUCCUUUCGGGGAGUGUUAUAGCCCUUGGUGUAAUGCUGCCUGCUGUGACUGAGGACCGCGCUUCGGCGAGGAUGCUGGCAUAAUGGUUGUAAGUGACCCGUCUUGAAACACGGACCAAGGAGUCUAACAUCUAUGCGAGUGUUUGGGUGUUCAAACCCUUACGCGGAAUGAAAGUGAAUGGAGGUGGGAACCGUAAGGUGCACCAUCGACCGAUCCUGAUGUUUACGGAUGGAUUUGAGUAGGAGCAUAGCUGUUGGGACCCGAAAGAUGGUGAACUAUGCCUGAAUAGGG